rnacentral:rRNA from 1 species
UGGCGGCGUGCUUAACACAUGCAAGUCGAACGAUGAAGCCUAGCUUGCUGGGUGGAUUAGUGGCGAACGGGUGAGUAACACGUGAGCAACCUGCCCCGGACUCUGGGAUAAGCGCUGGAAACGGCGUCUAAUACCGGAUAUGAGCUCCCACCGCAUGGUGAGGGGUUGGAAAGAUUUUUUGGUCUGGGAUGGGCUCGCGGCCUAUCAGCUUGUUGGUGAGGUAAUGGCUCACCAAGGCGUCGACGGGUAGCCGGCCUGAGAGGGUGACCGGCCACACUGGGACUGAGACACGGCCCAGACUCCUACGGGAGGCAGCAGUGGGGAAUAUUGCACAAUGGGCGGAAGCCUGAUGCAGCAACGCCGCGUGAGGGAUGACGGCCUUCGGGUUGUAAACCUCUUUUAGCAAGGAAGAAGCGAAAGUGACGGUACUUGCAGAAAAAGCGCCGGCUAACUACGUGCCAGCAGCCGCGGUAAUACGUAGGGCGCAAGCGUUAUCCGGAAUUAUUGGGCGUAAAGAGCUCGUAGGCGGUUUGUCGCGUCUGCUGUGAAAUCCGGAGGCUCAACCUCCGGCCUGCAGUGGGUACGGGCAGACUAGAGUGCGGUAGGGGAGAUUGGAAUUCCUGGUGUAGCGGUGGAAUGCGCAGAUAUCAGGAGGAACACCGAUGGCGAAGGCAGAUCUCUGGGCCGUAACUGACGCUGAGGAGCGAAAGGGUGGGGAGCAAACAGGCUUAGAUACCCUGGUAGUCCACCCCGUAAACGUUGGGAACUAGUUGUGGGGGCCAUUCCACGGUCUCCGUGACGCAGCUAACGCA